rnacentral:rRNA from 1 species
GCGCGAAACCUUUACAAUGCGGGCAACCGCGAUAAGGGGACCUCGAGUGCCGGCAUACAAUGUCGGCUGUCGUGAUGCCUAAAAAGCAUUAUAUAGCAAGGGCCGGGCAAGACCGGUGCCAGCCGCCGCGGUAACACCGGCGGCUCGAGUGGUGACCGCUAUUAUUGGGUUUAAAGGGUCUGUAGCCGGCCGGAUAAGUCUCUUGGGAAAUCUGGCCGCUUAACGGUCAGGCUUUCAGGAGAUACUGUCUGGCUCGAGGCCGGGAGAGGUGAGAGGUACUUCAGGGGUAGGGGUGAAAUCUUGUAAUCCUUGGAGGACCACCAGUGGCGAAGGCGUCUCACCAAAACGGACCUGACGGCAAGGGACGAAAGCUAGGGGCACGAACCGG